rnacentral:rRNA from 1 species
GACGGGGAGCACCACACGGGUGGAGCUUGCGGUUUAAUUGGAUCAACGCCGGAAAUCUUACCGGGACCGACAGCAAUAUGAAGGCCAGGCUGAAGACUUUGCCGGAUUAGCUGAGAGGUGGUGCAUGGCCGUCGUCAGUUCGUACUGUGAAGCAUCCUGUUAAGUCAGGCAACGAGCGAGACCCACGCCCACAGUUGCCAGCGUACUCUCCGGAGUGACGGGUACACUGUGGGGACCGCCGCUGCUAAAGCGGAGGAAGGAAUGGGCAACGGUAGGUCAGUAUGCCCCGAAUAUCCCGGGCUACACGCGAGCUACAAUGGUUGGUACAAUGGGUAUCUACCCCGAAAGGGGACGGGAAUCUCCUAAAACCAAUCUUAGUUCGGAUUGUAGGCUGCAACUCGCCUACAUGAGGUCGGAAUCGCUAGUAAUCGCGGAUCAGCACGCCGCGGUGAAUACGUUCCCGGGCCUU